UCAUUACCGAUUCGAUCUGAGUGAGAAC
rnacentral:sRNA from 1 species